AUUGAACGCUGGCGGCAGGCCUAACACAUGCAAGUCGAGCGGAGCGGCGGACGGGUGAGUAAUGCAUAGGAAUCUGCCUGGUCGAUGGGGAUAACGUCAGGAAACGGGAGCUAAUACCGCAUACUACCAGAUGAGCCUAGGUUGGGUUAGCUAGUUGGUGGGGUAAAGGCCUACCAAGGCGACGAUCCGUAACUGACCUGAGAGGAUGAUCAGUCACACUGGAACUGAGACACGGUCCAGACGCCUACGGGAGGCAGCAGUAGGGAAUAUUGGACAAUGGGCGAAAGCCUGACCGAGCCAUGCCGCGUGAGUGAAGAAGGUCUUCGGAUUGUAAAGCACUUUUAGUUGGGAGGCGUUACCAACAGAAUAAGCACCGGCUAACUUCGUGCCAGCAGCCGCGGUAAUUC
rnacentral:rRNA from 1 species